CCCCUCUCAGGAUCUCACCUGGAGGGUUUCCAGUACUCUACUAGUCUCAACUAUGGGAGGGAGGAUCAGGCAGAGGCCUGUCCAUUCCAUUCCUAGCUUGGCCAGUGGCUAGCAUUUGGAAGGCACUCUGCUACAGGU
rfam:Ornithorhynchus anatinus chromosome 4, whole genome shotgun sequence.